AGAGUUUGAUCCUGGCUCAGGACGAACGCUGGCGGCGUGCUUAACACAUGCAAGUGGUGCGACGAACCAGGGCUUGCCCUGGGGCAAAGCCGCGAACGGGUGAGUAACACGUGAGUAAUCUGCCCCGAUGACUGGGACAACCCGAGGAAACUCGGGCUAAUACCGGAUGAUGAGCCAAGGUUUAAGCCUUGUCUCUAAAGGAAGCUUCGGCCUCCGCAUUGGGAGGAGCUCGCGGCCCAUUAGCUUGUUGGUGAGGUAACGGCUCACCAAGGCGACGAUGGGUAGCUGGUCUGAGAGGACGAUCAGCCACACUGGGACUGAGACACGGCCCAGACUCCUACGGGAGGCAGCAGUGGGGAAUCUUGCGCAAUGCGCGAAAGCGUGACGCAGCAACGCCGCGUGGGGGAAGACGGCCUUAGGGUUGUAAACCCCUUUCAGGAGGGACGAAGGUUCACCGGUGAAUAGCCGUGUGGAUUGACGGUACCUCCACAAGAAGCACCGGCUAACUACGUGCCAGCAGCCGCGGUAAUACGUAGGGUGCAAGCGUUGUCCGGAAUCAUUGGGCGUAAAGCGCGCGUAGGUGGUCAUGUAAGUCCGCUGUGAAAGUCAAAGGCUCAACCUUUGAAAGCCGGUGGAUACUGCAUGACUAGAGUACGGAAGAGGCGAGUGGAAUUCCUGGUGUAGCGGUGGAAUGCGCAGAUAUCAGGAGGAACACCAAUAGCGAAGGCAGCUCGCUGGGACGUUACUGACACUGAGGCGCGAAAGCGUGGGGAGCGAACAGGAUUAGAUACCCCCGUAGUCC
rnacentral:rRNA from 1 species